rnacentral:rRNA from 1 species
UACGAAGGGGGCUAGCGUUGCUCGGAAUCACUGGGCGUAAAGCGCACGUAGGCGGGUCUUUAAGUCAGGGGUGAAAUCCUGGAGCUCAACUCCAGAACUGCCUUUGAUACUGAGGAUCUCGAGUCCGGGAGAGGUGAGUGGAACUCCGAGUGUAGAGGUGAAAUUCGUAGAUAUUCGGAAGAACACCAGUGGCGAAGGCGGCUCACUGGCCCGGUACUGACGCUGAGGUGCGAAAGCGUGGGGAGCAAACGGG